rnacentral:hammerhead_ribozyme from 1 species
CUCCGGCUGACGAGUCCCAAAUAGGACGAAACGCGCAUCCUGGAU